rnacentral:rRNA from 1 species
AUUGAACGCUGGCGGCAGGCCUAACACAUGCAAGUCGAACGAGUGGCGGACGGGUGAGUAAUGUCUGGGAAACUGCCCGAUGGAGGGGGAUAACUACUGGAAACGGUAGCUAAUACCGCAUACUAUAGGAUGGGCCCAGAUGGGAUUAGCGAGUAGGUGGGGUAAUGGCUCAACUAGGCGACGUGCCCUAGCUGGUCUGAAAGGAUGAGCAGCAACACUGGAACUGAGACACGGUCCAGAUUCCUACGGGAGGCAGAAGUGGGGAAUAUUGCACAAUGGGCGGAAUCCUGAGGCAGCCAUGCCGAGUGUAUGAAGAAGGCUUGCGGGUGGUAAAGUACUUUCAGAGAGGAGGCGUUACUCGCAGAAUAAGCACCGGCUAACUACGUGCCAGCAGCCGCGGUAAUUC